GACGAACGCUGGCGGCGUGCUUAACACAUGCAAGUCGAACGGAAAGGCCCUGCUUUUGUGGGGUGCUCGAGUGGCGAACGGGUGAGUAACACGUGAGUAACCUGCCCUUGACUUUGGGAUAACUUCAGGAAACUGGGGCUAAUACCGGAUAUGAGCUCCUGCUGCAUGGUGGGGGUUGGAAAGUUUCGGCGGUUGGGGAUGGACUCGCGGCUUAUCAGCUUGUUGGUGGGGUAGUGGCUUACCAAGGCUUUGACGGGUAGCCGGCCUGAGAGGGUGACCGGCCACAUUGGGACUGAGAUACGGCCCAGACUCCUACGGGAGGCAGCAGUGGGGAGUAUUGCACAAUGGGCGGAAGCCUGAUGCAGCAACGCCGCGUGCGGGAUGACGGCCUUCGGGUUGUAAACCGCUUUCGCCUGUGACGAAGCGUGAGUGACGGUAAUGGGUAAAGAAGCACCGGCUAACUACGUG
rnacentral:rRNA from 1 species